CGGUGCCUACACAAUGGCACCUGCGUGGACCUGGUGGGCGGUUUCCGCUGCACCUGUCCCCCAGGAUACACUGGUUUGCGUUGCGAGGCAGAUAUCAAUGAGUGUCGCUCAGGUGCCUGCCAUGCAGCACACACCCGGGACUGCCUGCAGGACCCAGGCGGAGGUUUCCGUUGUCUUUGUCAUGCUGGCUUCUCAGGUCCUCGCUGUCAGACUGUUCUGUCCCCCUGCGAGUCGCAGCCAUGCCAGCAUGGAGGCCAGUGCCGUCCUAGCCCGGGUCCUGGGGGGGGGUUGACCUUCACCUGUCACUGUGCCCAGGUAGGUGUGGGUGGCGGCCUUUGGAGGAGGAGUAGGGGCGUGGCCUCUGGAGGAGGUGGUAGGGGCGUGGCCUCUGGAGUAGUAAGGGCGUGGCGUCUAGGAGGAGGAUGUGGCUUUAGGGGAGACAUCGAAGGGAAGGGAGUUUCUGGAAAAUGCUGACAUUUCCGCCGGAUGUGGUAGCUCACACCUGUAAUCCCAGCACAUUGGGAGGCCGAGGCGGGAGGAUCACUUGAGGCCAGGAGUUCGAGACCAGCCUGGGCAACAUUGUGAAACUCCGUCUCUACUAAAAAUAUAAAAAUUAGCCGGGCGUAGUGGCAGCCGCCUGUAAUCCCAGCUACUCGGGAGGCUGAGGCAGGAGAAUCACUCGAACCCGGGAGGCAGAGGUUGCAGUGAGCCAUCGCGCCAUUGCACUCCAGCCUGUCAACUGAGUGACACUCCGUCUCAAAAAACAAAGAAACAA
rnacentral:sRNA from 1 species